UGUCCUGAAUGUUGUCGACGCCCUGAUGCUGAUGUUUGCAGCAUAUUACUGCCUCAACAUCAGUUAUCGCUCAGAACUGGGAGCUACCCUGGAGUUCUUGCAGAGGUGCCUAUUCAAGAUCAAUCCGGACAAUGGGACUAGAGUGGAGAGGAAGGAAUACAAACAAAAACAGCACUCGAUAAAGAUAAAGAUUUCAUGAAGUUUGCUGACGACACGACCGUCAUCGGCC